GAUGAAGAACGUAGCGAAAUGCGAUAAGUAGUGUGAAUUGCAGAAUUCAGUGAAUCAUUGAAUCUUUGAACGCACAUUGCGCCCGUCAGUAUUCUGGCGGGCAUGCCUGUUCGAGCGUCAUUACGCCCCUCAAGUCCCCUGUGGACUUGGUGUUGGGGAUCGGCGAGGCUGGUUUUCCAGCACAGCCGUCCCUUAAAUUAAUUGGCGGUCUCGCCGUGGCCCUCCUCUGCGCAGUAGUAAAACACUCGCAACAGGAGCCCGGCGCGGUCCACUGCCGUAAAACCCCCCAACUUUUUAUAGUUGACCUCGAAUCAGGUAGGACUACCCGCUGAACUUAAGCAUAUCAAUAAGCGGAGGA
rnacentral:misc_RNA from 1 species